GAACUCCAAUUUUCUCUAUUCUUCAGGGACGACCAGUGAAGCGGCGUUACUGAGGGAGAGCGGAGAGCGAGUGAGGGCGAGGUUGCUGUCCUUCUUAGUGUUGCUGAUGUGAAUAGUUGAAUACCACUUCCAAAUUGACGACCCUCACUUGUCUCUAUUCUUCAGGGACGACCAGUGAAGCGGCGGUACUGAGGGAGAGGGGAGAGCGAGGGAGACGCGAGGUUGCUGUCCUUCUUAGUGUUGCUGAUGUGAAUGGUUGAAUACCACUUCCAAAUUGACGACCCUCACUUGUCUCUAUUCUUGAGGGACGACCAGUGAAGCGGCGGUACUUAGGGAGAGGGGAGAGCGAGGGAGGGCGAGGUUGCUGUCCUUCUUAGUGUUGCUGAUGUGAAUAGUUGAAUACCACUUCCAAAUUGACGACCCUCACUUGUCUCUAUUCUUCAGGGACGACCAGUGAAGCGGCGGUACUGAGGGAGAGGGGAGAGCGAGGGAGGGCGAGGUUGCUGUCCUUCUUAGUGUUGCUGAUGUGAAUAGUUGAUUAGCACUUCCACAAAUGACAACC